AUGGCGGACGCCUACUCCUGGUCCUCCAAGCAGAGUUACAAGACCGACUACGUCUGGCACGACCUCACCACCGAGGACCCCGUGCACCCCGCCAGCGGCGUCGAGUACGUGCUCAAGGGCCCCGAGCUGCUCCACCUCCUCCCUGUACUUGAUUUUGCGCGACGCCUCCGCCGACGCAUCCUCGUCCUCCUCCACCUCCAGCUGCCAGGCCGGGAACAAGAAGAAGAUGCCUACAGGGCCAUUAGCAGGGCCCACGACCGGCGCAAGAAAUGGAGCUCCUUCGACCUCGGCCAGUACGGGGUGGCAACCGCGCGCAUCGGCACCGGGGCGGACGCGGCCAUGCAGACCGGCGAGAAACACGGCCGGCACCGGGGCCUCGAGCCGCCCGACACGCUGGAGACGCUCAUCGAGAACGACGCCCGCGUGGCCGCCGCCUCGAACACCGUCGCCACUCGGCGGGAGGAAGAGGAUGCGGGCUUGGCACAGCAGGGCGUGAUCGCGGGCGGGCAGAUGCGCGCGUCGGCGGUGUUGAUGGGGCUCAUCUCCUGCGGCAGCCAAGCGGGACGCCGGUCCGGGCGGUGCGAGGCGCACAAAGCGUUUCCCGCGCGGGCGGUCAGACCUGAGCAGCAGCACGGCAGCGAACGGCUUCACGGGCGGGAGUACUUCAGCUGCAGCCCGGUGGAGACCAAGAAGACGACGAGCGGCGAGCGUGCCGGCCACAGAGGCGAGCUGGGCGCGUGUACUGAAGCGGUCAUCUCCAUCCAACUGUUGUGA
rnacentral:rRNA from 1 species